GCAGAUGGCCGCCCACCCUGAGCCAUGGUUCUGCUCGAGGUGUCUGCCUCUUAAAAUUAAGUUUUUCCUUGCCUCUGUCGCCUAGUUCUUGCUCUUGGUAGGAAUUGUUGGAUUUCUGUAAAAAAAACAUCACAGAGUAUGGUCUAGACCUGCUAUUUUAUGAAAAGCGCUAUGAGAUAACUGUUGUUGUGAUUUUGUGCUAUAUAAAUAAAAUUGAAUUGAAAAUGGACUUGAAUUAGGUCAGAGGUCGCAAGCCACAUCAGGUGUCAUGAAUGUAUGCUAAUAAUAACUAAUUAUACUAAAGUAUCUGAUAACACCUCCUUACAAUGAUCUACAGUUAUACCUCUACAAUACCACAAAUACAAUUAACGCCAUUCAAGAUUAUUUUGAAUUGUGUGACUGCUCUUGAGCAUUGGCUGGAUUGUAUUGUUUGUCUGCCAGCAUGCCUGUUGGCAAGAGUUGUAUUACUCUCAUUUUUUGUUGACAGUUUAGAAAGACUUUGUGCCUUUGUGAGGAUGUUGCUGAGACCUAAUUUAAGGUCUGAGGAUACAAAUUCUGGCUGACUGUCACUCUCCCUCGCUGCCAUGGCUACCAGCCAUGCUGCUACAGGACACCCGGUCAGCUCGCUCAGACCUGACGAGCGAAGCGGUCAGACUGGUGGGUGAUAUCUGCAUGGCUUUUCAACGAUAGUGACUACUGAGGAACACUGAGGGGCUAACACAGCGUGGUGGCUUUAUUUCUGCUGGACAGGUCACCUGCAGAUUUGAAAUUUUUCAUAGCCCUGUACUUCUCACCAGUAUACGCUGAUUGGACCAUGCUGGUUGGCCUGGAUUACAACCACCAUGUCCACAGUCCAGCCAGGAGAAAAGCUGAUGACACAGUUCAGUACAGCAAGGUGUACAACAAAAAGUCCAGAAAGUGGAGCUUGACAUCGCAGACUGCCAUCCUCCUCCUCCUCCUCCGACGGUUGUCUACUACUGAGGAGAUGCCUAGAAGCAGAACCAGGAGACCUGAUUAUCCCCGUUAACAUGGGGUUCAGUCAGGUGUCCCUGCCCCAACUGCGUUUCUAGAUACAGCAAAAAUAUAAAUCAAAAAGUAAUAUGAUUGGUUUUGAAAUGUGGUAAUCAUGUAAUCAUCUCCACAGCAGCGAUAUGAUGCUACAUGCAAGUCUGAACCGUCUUCAUAAUCAGUCAGGACACCUCUGGACACACCUUGUCGAUU